rnacentral:rRNA from 1 species
AGAGUUUGAUCAUGGCUCAGGAUGAACGCUAGCGGCAGACUUAAUACAUGUGAGUCGAGGGGCAGCGGAUCCCUCCGGGGAUGCCGGCGACCGGCGAACGGGUGAGUAACACGUAUGGAACCUGCCCUUAACUGGGAAAUAGCUUUGAGAAAUCGAAGGUAAUGUCCCAUACCAUCUGAAGAAGGCAUCUUUUUCAGAUGAAAGCUCCGGCGGUUAAGGAUGGCCAUGCGGUCCAUUAGCUUGUUGGUGAGAUAACCGCUCACCAAGGCUGCGAUGGAUAGCUGAUCUGAGAGGAUGAUCAGCCACAUUGGCACUGAGACACGGGCCAAACUCCUACGGGAGGCAGCAGUAGGGAAUCUUGGUCAAUUGGCGAAAGCCAGAACCAGUCAUGCCGCGUGCAGGAUGAAGGCCCUACGGGUCGUAAACUGCUUUUACUCGGGAAGAAAAAGUCUGUUUCCACAGAUCUUGACGGUACCGAUUGAAUAAGGACCGGCCAACUCCGUGCCAGCAGCCGCGGUAAUACGGAGGGUCCAAGCGUUAUCCGGAUUCACUGGGUUUAAAGGGUGCGCAGGCGGCUAAGUAAGUCAGUGGUGAAAGCCUUCGGCUCAACCGGAGAAUUGCCAUUGAAACUACUUAGCUUGAGUGCAGUAGGGGUAGGCGGAAUGUAGCAUGUAGCGGUGAAAUGCAUAGAUAUGCUACAGAACACCGAUAGCGAAAGCAGCUUACCACACUGUAACUGACGCUGAGCACGAAAGCAUGGGUAGCAAACAGGA